GACCGGCAAACGGGUGCGGAACACGUACGCAAUCUACCUCUUUCAGGGGCAUAGCCCGAAGAAAUUCGGAUUAACUCCCCAUAAGAUAAUGGUGUGGCAUCACACAGUUAUUAAAGCUCCGGUGGAAAGAGAUGAGCGUGCGUCCCAUUAGCUAGUUGGUAGGGUAACGGCCUACCAAGGCGACGAUGGGUAGCUGGUGUGAGAGCACGACCAGCCACACGGGCACUGAGACACGGGCCCGACUCCUACGGGAGGCAGCAGUGAGGAAUAUUGGUCAAUGGACGCAAGUCUGAACCAGCCAUGCCGCGUGGAGGAUGAAGGUCCUCUGGAUUGUAAACUUCUUUUAUUUGGGAAGAAACCCCCGAUUUCUAUUGGGGUUGACGGUACCAGAUGAAUAAGCACCGGCUAACUCCGUGCCAGCAGCCGCGGUAAUACGGAGGGUGCAAGCGUUAUCCGGAUUCACUGGGUUUAAAGGGUGCGUAGGCGGGUUGGUAAGUCCGUGGUGAAAUCUCCAAGCUUAACUUGGAAACUGCCGUGGAUACUAUCAAUCUUGAAUAUAGUGGAGGUGAGCGGAAUAUGUCAUGUAGCGGUGAAAUGCUUAGAUAUGACAUAGAACACCCAUUGCGAAGGCAGCUCGCUACACUAUUAU
rnacentral:rRNA from 1 species